GUAGCAAGUCGGAUCGGGCAGGCCCUGGAAUAUUCAUGAUCAUGAAUCACGAGGGAAAGGGAUCCGGAAACCCAAUAAAUGGACGCUAGGCCGGUGACCUUGGGUGCUGAUGAGUUGUUCACUUGCAGGUGCAACCAAUCAGAAAUUGGAGAGUGCUUUGCUACCAUAUCUAAAUUGGAAAGAAAAACCAAGGUUGCAAACAACGGCAGGGAGGCCAUUGCUAAAGCCUAUUCCAGCCAUUUGGUGAGCUCAUUGCGGACAACAAGGCUAUGUUGUACUUUGAAAACGGAGCCACAUUUUGCAAGUUUUGGUGACUCUUCAGAGUUCUUCAUUGAUCCUGGUGGCACACUGAUAGCCUGAAAUUUUAUCCUCUUGGCAAGAACGUGAGAAAUAUUCUUGAUAUGGUCAAGGUUCUGUUGUUCUCUGUAGAUGAGGAAAAUCUUUUGAAUCAACAUAAUUGAUAUAUAUUCCCAUUUUAAUAGCAUAAUGCUUAGUCAUAUUGGUUGCCUAUACUUGCUAUGUAUUAACCGGUUAGUUAAAUAAUUCUGAUGACAUCUCUGCUCUAUGGGAAUAAAACAGAAUUGUAGGAGUUGGCUCUCACAUGAGACCAAUAAAAUGAGUAUUUUGUUUAGUUUUCUUUUUUGCCUUGUUUGCUUACUGGAACAAGCAUCAUAUUAUUGAUUUAUGCCUUAUUUGCUUCAGGCCUUCUGUUAUUUCAUACGUUCCAGUGAACCUGAAGAAUUGAUAUUAUGUAUCCCUCUUCUGUUAUUUUCAGCAAACAAUCAAAGUUUGAUCAUAGUGUAGGUCAUAUGCUAAAUAGUUUGUUGGUUGCAUCUAAACUCAUGAGACAUCUGUUGGCGAUUCAAAAUUUAAAGUGAGUUUCAAACGAUUUUGUCCAAUAAAGUGUAUACCAAAAUGAAAUUCUUUAUGUUUGGCUGAGCUAAUGGACUUAAAUUCAGCAAAUAGAGUUAUUCUGGUCUGACUUUACCCACACAAUAUGUUAUAUGCUGAUAUGUGAUUACUUUGUUUUCUAUACAUCACUUUUGCUGGUGGAAGCUAGCAGAUUUUUGGCAUGUAUAAACUUAUUGGAAAACCCUUCUAGGUAUGCAUAGACUGAGUGUGCUUGGAUCCAGGCCACCUCUCUUGGAUUCCUAUCAAGAGCUCGGCUUACGGCACAGCUGUUGACCAAGCGAGAGUUUUUGUGAUGAGCCAGGUGCGCUCCUGGAAGAAAAAGAGGAUGGCACAAGGGAACCGUCGCCGCGUGGACGUCGCAGUGCCUCCCACACGGUGUUAUUGUGGUAGCAUAUCAUCGCUGCUCCAGGUGACCCCGUGGUGCUAUCCACAUGCGUUGUCGGAACAUCCAUUCCAUGAUUCUUCCUAUACCCACCUGCCUGUAGCCUGGGAGUGUGUCGUCUGAACUGGAGCCUGAAGCACGCUGCACGGUAGCAACCAACAUUGCUAUCCAUGUUGAAUAUUGCUGCUGCAGCAGCCAGGAAUGCUGGGGAUAGAGGUCGGUGAAGACCUUGCUUGCUUGUCGAAUAAACCAAGUAAUGAGAAAAUCAAAUAAGCUGUCCAGGGGGACUGGUUGUGGUAAGUGUGCACUAUUUGAAUCGUCCAAUUGUUGUUUUAAAGUUGAUUGCCUUAAUCCACUGUUUCGCCUAAAGGACAGGAAUAUGGAUUCAAUGAAAGACAAACACUAUUUGCUUAGAAACGUUCCUGUUGUUUUUUUCGUACUUUUUAGUUUGCGUUGUUUACUCUUUGCAAAACACUGAUUGUCCUCUGCUCUUUACAUUUUUGAGUUUCAAUAACAAUUUUCCUCUUGAGUUCCACAUAACCAUGAACUGAUGUGCGUAAGUGCUCAUACCCCACUAAGUUCAUAUGUAUAAAUCUGGUGGGUUGGAGUUUGCUGUGAAAGUCCUGAAAAAACAUGGAGGACGAUGACGGAUUAGAUAGUGCAGAGGAAAAUAAUAUAUGGUGCAUCUGGCCUAUCCCAGUUUGCCAUUUUGAAAAAGAAACAACAUCUAUCUGUUAAUUUGAGCGUAUGUUGAAUAUAACAAUACUCAGUUCGGUGCACAUUUCUGAUUUUUAUGGUAGUAUGUGAUAAGAUUUCUGAACUCCAAUUUUACCAUAGAGCACAAAAGAAUAUAAUAAGUUAUAUGUAUGAGAUCAGGUUGAUUUGUGAUUCUAAAAUAGGGACCUACGAGUAAUUUAUUUCUCUUGCUCACUGUAAUUAACUAGAAACAUAUAUUGCUAAUAAUAGGAAUUUCUGUUGAAACUCAGCUCAAGCUUAAUAAACAUUGAGAGCAGUGAUGUUUUCUUUUAUUGUCGAGAGUGCGGAAGAAAUCUGAAUAAUCAAAUUUCAAGGUUAGAGUUUUCUUUCAAUAUCCAUCUCCACGGUUUUCCAUAUACGUGUGUUUGGAUGCCAUGCCACCUUAAGUUAAGUACAAUGUAUGUAUAUAUCAUGUUGCGUGGUCCAUCCAGUGACACAUGUGCAAAUAUAAAGUUUCAUCAUGCUACAACGCUUCUUGAGAGAAAAGAACCAGACUGAUUCGGUAUUUUUUUCUUGCAGCUCAAAUUCCAUAUUGUUUUCAGGUUGUUCUUCACUGCUUUGUGUUCUUCAACUCUCUGUUCAGCCUGAUACAAAAAAAAGCAUUGUAUUGCUGUACGAUAUACCUCUGAACACAGUUCAGCUAAAAUGUCGCUUGGACAGAGCACUAUUGUUUCUUGUUUUUGUAGAGUUCUUAUUACGAUUCCCUUUUAGGUGUAUGAAACACUUCUUUUCAAUUUCAAAAGCAGCUGUGUUGGGUAUUUGAGAAUAGUGGCAGCACGACAUGAGGGUAUGACACUCUGGCAAUUGGUUAUACUCCCUUCUCUAUUUUAUAUUGUUGAAUAUAUUGACGUAAGUAUGAUACGUUAAUAAUGACUUAGAUCUAUUGGCUGCAUUGCAAUAGUUGGGGAGGUGUUGGAGAGGAACGGGAAUUGUACAACUGCAGUCUCCUGCGUGCCAGAGGUGCAGGUGACCACAGCUGCGCUUACUUUCGCUCAUGUCAUGAAGAGACUGGCGGCCUGCUGCCGAGGGAGGCGACACUGACUGCGCUGAGCCGAUGUCAUCUGAAGAAUCAUACGGCGGCUUGCCAUGCACAGCACUGUGCUCGGUUUACCUUGGGCUCAUCAUCAAGGACGAUGGCAGCAAUCAGGCCUGAUCUGGAGGCGGUGUGGUCAGCGAGUCCUCUGUCGGAGGAGGCGAGGACCAGCAUGAGGUUUCAUAACUUAAAAUCAUUCAGUAAUUAAUCUUCGGGAAAUGUAUUAAGAGCAUCGUGUAGAAGUUCAUGAUUGUUUGACUCAGUUAUGGCAAAUGAAGCAAAUGAGUUUUUCAUGUAUUCUUGUUUGUAGCAAAGUAUAAGGGCAAUAAUUUUUCAGAUAGCUUAUUAACAUAUGUUAAACAAUGGAGAUGUUGCUUGUUCCUUCACCAUACCACAUGCUUCAAAGGGUGCGGCAUGUCACCAUCCUCAAUCCAUGAGUGUGCUAAGCAUUAGGUGCUUCAUGCUGAUUCCAUA